rnacentral:tRNA from 1 species
GGGAACGUGGUGGAAUUGGUAGACACGCUGGAUUUAGGAUCCAGUGCCUAGCGGCGUGGGAGUUCAACUCUCCCCGUUCCCACCA